AUGAACCGGGAGUCAUGACCUGGGCCAAAGUUGGACACUCAACUGACUAAGCCACCCAGGUACCCUACAAACAUCAUCAGUCCCUCAACCAUGUGCCACAGCAGGGCAGAGAUGCCCUGUGGGGGACAGGCAACAAGAGAGAUGAAACAGGCAGAGACAACUUGUGAGUCAGUGGAACCCAUUCCAAUCAUCAAAUCUUUAAACAUGCAGCAAGGACCUUGAAACUUCCACGGCCACCAACUUCAUUCUGUGACUACACAGGGUCAACUUUCAGCCAAAAAUUGUGGAUUAAAAACAGAAUUGAACUCUG